AUGUAUGCUUCGUCUGUUGUGCAUGUCGAUGUGGGCGAGUCCAUCGCCGUGCUUGCGACUCCGGUGCUACAGCUCAUGCCCGAGCUUCGGGAUAUAUGUUCGAGCCCUGCUUCUCCUCUGUCCUUGGAGCGGUUGGAAGUGGACUCGUCGACAACCUUGUGUGAGGGGCAUGUUUUGCCUCUGUCGUGUGAGCAACUGGAGGCGCCGAAGUCCAUUGUGUCGAUGGUUCCUGUGGUGGAGGAUGAUGUGUUGGGGGUUCCUCGGGCCGAUGAUGUCGAUGCGGCCGGUUUGUUGGUGCCUGCCCCUAGUAGGAGCCCCUUGGUUGAUGACAACUACAUCAAGAAGUACAAUGAGUUCUAUGAUUUUCUUGACAAAUGGGUGGCGGAUCAGUCUGGACCCGGCAUCACAAGUGGUUGCCUCCCCAAGAAGAAACCCAAUAGGGAGAAAGCAAAGAGAAACAAAAGCAAGAAGGGCGGUGUUAUUCGGAAGACGCCCACGAUUUCAUGA
rnacentral:rRNA from 1 species